GAGUUUGAUCCUGGCUCAGAACGAACGCUGGCGGCGUGCUUAACACAUGCAAGUCAGGGAGAAAGUCUCUUCGGGGAUGAUUAAACCGGCGCACGGGUGAGUAACACGUGAGUGACCUGCCUUUUAGGCUGGAACAACUUACCGAAAGGUGAGCUAAUGCCGGAUGAGUUAUAUAAGUGCAUGUUUAUAUAGGAAAAGUUGGGGAGACCUGACGCUGAAAGAUGGACUCGCGUCCCAUUAGCUAGUUGGUAGGGUAAUGGCCUACCAAGGCGACGAUGGGUAGCCGGCCUGAGAGGGUGGCCGGCCACACUGGGACUGAGACACGGCCCAGACUCCUACGGGAGGCAGCAGUGGGGAAUUUUGCGCAAUGCUCGUAAGAGUGACGCAGCGACGCCGCGUGAAUGACGAAGGCCUUCGGGUCGUAAAGUUCUUUCGACAGGGAAGAAAAUGCCUAUAAGUAACUGUGUAUGUAUUGACGGUACCUGUAUAAGCAGCCCCGGCUAACUCCGUGCCAGCAGCCGCGGUAAUACGGAGGGGGCGAGCGUUGUUCGGAGUGACUGGGCGUAAAGAGCACGUAGGCGGUGUUGUAAGUCAUUAGUCAAAGACUAGAGCUCAACUUUAGUAAGGCUAGUGAUACUAUAAUACUAGAGUAUCAGAGAGGAUUGCAGAAUUCCUGGUGUAGCGGUGAAAUGCGUAGAUAUCAGGAGGAAUACCGUUAGCGAAGGCGGCAAUCUGGCUGGAAACUGACGCUGAGGUGCGAAAGCGUGGGUAGCAAACAGGAU
rnacentral:rRNA from 1 species